CCUACGGGUGGCAGCAGUGGGGAAUAUUGCGCAAUGGGCGAAAGCCUGACGCAGCGACGCCGCGUGAGGGAUGAAGGUCUUCGGAUCGUAAACCUCUGUCAGCAGGGAAGAACGGUCACUGUGCUAAUCAGCAGUGAAUUGACGGUACCUGCAAAGGAAGCACCGGCUAACUCCGUGCCAGCAGCCGCGGUAAUAAGGAGGGUGCGAGCGUUAAUCGGAAUUACUGGGCGUAAAGCGCUCGUAGGCGGUAUGUCAAGUCAAGGGUGAAAUCCCCGCGCUCAACGUGGGAACUGCCUUUGAAACUGGCAAACUGGAGUGUAGGAGAGGAUAGUGGAAUUCCAGGUGUAGCAGUGAAAGCCGUAGAUAUCUGGAGGAACAUCAGUGGCGAAGGCGACUAUCUGGCACAUAACUGACGCUGAGGAGCGAAAGCGUGGGUAGCAAACAGGAUUAGAUACCCUGGUAGUC
rnacentral:rRNA from 1 species